rnacentral:rRNA from 1 species
UACGUAGGGGGCAAGCGUUAUCCGGAUUUACUGGGUGUAAAGGGAGCGUAGGCGGGAUGGCAAGUCAGAUGUGAAAUCCAGGGGCUCAACCCCUGAACUGCAUUUGAAACUGUCGUUCUUGAGUACUGGAGAGGUUACGGAAUUCCUAGUGUAGCGGUGAAAUGCGUAGAUAUUAGGAGGAACACCAGUGGCGAAGGCGGUCAACUGGACAGCAACUGACGCUGAGGCGCGAAAGCGUGGGGAGCAAACAGG